AACGCACCUUGCACUCCUUGGUAUUCCGAGGAGUAUGCCUGUUUGAGUGUCAUUAAUAUAUCAACCUCUCAAGCUUUUUGCUUGUGGAGUGUAUGGAUGUGGGGGGAUUAUUUUGCUGGCCUUUUUCGUGAGGUCGGCUCCCCUGAAAUGCAUUGGCAGAAUGAUUUGCUGACCGUUUAUUGGUGUGAUAACUAUCUACGCUGUUGACGUGAAGCAAGUUCAGCUUAUAAUGGUCCAUUGACUUGGACAACAUAUUUAUUAAUGUGACCUCAAAUCAGGUAGGACUACCCGCUGAACUUAA
rnacentral:misc_RNA from 1 species